GACGAACGCUGGCGGCGUGCUUAACACAUGCAAGUCGAACGCUGAAGCUCAGCUUUUGUUGGGUGGAUGAGUGGCGAACGGGUGAGUAACACGUGAGUAACCUGCCCCCUUCUUUGGGAUAACGCCCGGAAACGGGUGCUAAUACUGGAUAUUCACUGGUCUUCGCAUGGGGGCUGGUGGACAGGGUAUUUCUGGUGGGGGAUGGGCUCGCGGCCUAUCAGCUUGUUGGUGGGGUGAUGGCCUACCAAGGCUUUGACGGGUAGCCGGCCUGGGAGGGUGACCGGGGACAUUGGGAAUGGGACACGGCCCAGACGGCUACGGGAGGCGGCAGUGGGGAAUAUUGCACGAUGGGCGGAUGCCUGAUGCAGGGACGGCGCGUGAGGGAUGGCGGCCUGCGGGUUGUGAACCUCUUUCGCUCAUGGUCAAGGCGCAACAAUGGUUGUGGUUAGGGUAGUGGGUAAAGAAGCGCCGGCUAACUACGUGC
rnacentral:rRNA from 1 species